rnacentral:rRNA from 1 species
AUUGAACGCUGGCGGCAUGCUUUACACAUGCAAGUCGAACGGCAGCGCGGGGCAACCUGGCGGCGAGUGGCGAACGGGUGAGUAAUAUAUCGGAACGUACCCAGAAGUGGGGGAUAACGUAGCGAAAGUUACGCUAAUACCGCAUACGAUCUACGGAUGAAAGUAGGGGACCGCAAGGCCUUAUGCUUUUGGAGCGGCCGAUAUCUGAUUAGCUAGUUGGUGAGGUAAAGGCUCACCAAGGCGACGAUCAGUAGCUGGUCUGAGAGGACGACCAGCCACACUGGAACUGAGACACGGUCCAGACUCCUACGGGAGGCAGCAGUGGGGAAUUUUGGACAGUGGGCGCAAGCCUGAUCCAGCAAUGCCGCGUGAGUGAAGAAGGCCUUCGGGUUGUAAAGCUCUUUUGUCAGGGAAGAAACGGUAGAGGCUAAUAUCCUUUGCUAAUGACGGUACCUGAAGAAUAAGCACCGGCUAACUACGU